GGACGAACGCUGGCGGCGUGCCUAAUACAUGCAAGUUGAGCGCUGAAGGUUGGUACUUGUACCAACUGGAUGAGCAGCGAACGGGUGAGUAACGCGUGGGGAAUCUGCCUUUGAGCGGGGGACAACAUUUGGAAACGAAUGCUAAUACCGCAUAAAAACUUUAAACACAAGUUUUAAGUUUGAAAGAUGCAAUUGCAUCACUCAAAGAUGAUCCCGCGUUGUAUUAGCUAGUUGGUGAGGUAAAGGCUCACCAAGGCGAUGAUACAUAGCCGACCUGAGAGGGUGAUCGGCCACAUUGGGACUGAGACACGGCCCAAACUCCUACGGGAGGCAGCAGUAGGGAAUCUUCGGCAAGGGACGAAAGUCUGACCGAGCAACGCCGCGUGAGUGAAGAAGGUUGUCGGAUCGUAAAACUCUGUUGGUAGAGAAGAACGUUGGUGAGAGUGGAAAGCUCAUCAAGUGACGGUAACUACCCAGAAAGGGACGGCUAACUACGUG
rnacentral:rRNA from 1 species